rnacentral:snRNA from 1 species
AGGUAUGGGGGACAAUCUGGCUGCAGCAUCUGUCACCCCAUUCAUAGCCAGGGUUGAUUAGGCAGGUUAGCUGGCUAAGUGGGUGUUCCCUUCCUCAACACUCCAUGUGCUUCCCUCCCAAAGCCAUGCCCUCAGGUGAUGACCUUCUCCAAAUAGAGGAGGACCAGCCUUCAUUCAAGGGGUCUUCUCCCCUGCUAGAACCUCCAAACAAGCUCUCAAGGGACAACAUCAAGCUUUCUUAUAUAUCUGUAAUUGACAACGUAAAGGUCUAACAC